CGGGUAUAUAUAUCGACUGUCGCCACUGCACCUUGCAUCAUUUGCUUACCGCUAUCAGAGCUCUAAGCAAAAUUAUACACAAAAUGUCUCGCACAAGCUUAAUACUUCUUCUUGUUUGUUUCGUGUGCGUCGCCGAGAUUACAAAUGCAUACUUCAUUAAAGAAAGCAGUAGCAGUGCAGUUCAUCAAUCAUGUUUAAGUAAGGGAAAAUCUUGUAAGCGCAAUGAUGAUUGCUGCGAUAAACUAUGUUUUCCAUUCGUGCAGAAAUGCGUUAAGAAAUAAUUUUGUUUGAAAUGAAUAUAAUAUUAUAUUAUUUAAUUAUUUACCGUAAGGUACGGAAUGGGUUAAUAUUAGAUAAAUCUGGAGACUUUGGUGAUUUUUUCUUAAAAUUAUUGUACCUAGAUAUGAUAUUAUACAAUAAGGUUAACACAAUAAAAUGAAAUGAAACGUU